GGCGUGCGGCGUGCUAAUACAUGCAAGUCGAGCGAAUGGAUUAAGAGCUUGCUCUUAUGAAGUUAGCGGCCCGACGGGUGAGUAACACGUGGGUAACCUGCCCAUAAGACUGGGAUAACUCCGGGAAACCGGGGCUAAUACCGGAUAACAUUUUGAACUGCAUGGUUCGAAAUUGAAAGGCGGCUUCGGCUGUCACUUAUGGAUGGACCCGCGUCGCAUUAGCUAGUUGGUGAGGUAACGGCUCACCAAGGCAACGAUGCGUAGCCGACCUGAGAGGGUGAUCGGCCACACUGGGACUGAGACACGGCCCAGACUCCUACGGGAGGCAGCAGUAGGGAAUCUUCCGCAAUGGACGAAAGUCUGACGGAGCAACGCCGCGUGAGUGAUGAAGGCUUUCGGGUCGUAAAACUCUGUUGUUAGGGAAGAACAAGUGCUAGUUGAAUAAGCUGGCACCUUGACGGUACCUAACCAGAAAGCCACGGCUAACUACGUGCCAGCAGCCGCGGUAAUACGUAGGUGGCAAGCGUUAUCCGGAAUUAUUGGGCGUAAAGCGCGCGCAGGUGGUUUCUUAAGUCUGAUGUGAAAGCCCACGGCUCAACCGUGGAGGGUCAUUGGAAACUGGGAGACUUGAGUGCAGAAGAGGAAAGUGGAAUUCCAUGUGUAGCGGUGAAAUGCGUAGAGAUAUGGAGGAACACCAGUGGCGAAGGCGACUUUCUGGUCUGUAACUGACACUGAGGCGCGAAAGCGUGGAACUCGCC
rnacentral:rRNA from 1 species